GUCGCAAAGAAUGUGUGUUAGCGCGCCUCAGCUCGUCCACUACGCAGCGGCAUGUAUGCGGGGAGUAACAUCGUCGACGCAGCACCGGCAACUUGGAGAGUGCUUCGCGACCGCGUCGUACCAUUCAAAAGUGGCGAGGCUGUGACCCAUAACAGUGCCUACAUAACGGAGGAGCCACCAGACCCCUUGGCUAUGCCUGCCGUAGUGCAACGUAUAAUCUGGAUGGUCGGGUCAGGUACACCUAGGAAAUGUUGUAUACAUUGGCAACGAUAACUGGGGCCUGCUCCAGUGCCAUCGCCGGGAUUCCCUGUUCUGCAAAAAGCUGACAUAACUGAUGUGGGGAGCCCUGGCGCUCGGUGUAGGAGUAUCACAGGGGCUCCUUGUCGGUGCUUGAAGGACGGCAAUGCUGUUGAGAAGCCGACAUUGAGCCCCGAUAAAUUGGAAGCUGUGGGUAGUUACCGCAUUAUUGACUUGGAAACCAGUGAGGUCUGGAUGCAAGUGAAGCUACCGAGGGAGGCAUGUGUGCAUCACUUGUGCUGCUGGCCAUCCUCUGCAAAAGUGAUGGCUGGCAGUCAGUGCUUGGAUGACUUUCUGUUACUCUACGCCUUGGGCUGUGUUGACUACUUCACACUUGCUGCCAUGUCUGCAAGCUUAGGCAAAAAGACCGGCUGGAUGCUUGGCAGGAGAUAGUAUCCAACCGCAGUGUUACUGUGUUGUGUUGUACAUUACAAAGUGAUGGAGGACAGUAUUUGUGCUGUUAAGAAGUAUAAAUUGUGUUCUGCCAUUGAAAUAAGGGAACUCGACACAAAGCAAAAGUUUUCGAAGUCUGACCUACAUGGGAAAGCAAAAUAUAUUGUGUUGUUGUAGCUGUUAGUAGAGUCUUAAUAUGCGAUAGAAGACCUUGAUGUUUAAUAGCAAAUAUAUUUAAGUGUGUUAUCAGUGUGUUAUCAGUGUUUAAGUUACUGUUAUGUGUCAUUUGUUUGCCAGGAUGAUGUAAGCAGACAGUAAAUAAAUGCAUGGUUUGAGAUUA